AUUGAACGCUAGCGGGAUGCCUUACACAUGCAAGUCGAACGGCAGCGCGGACUUCGGUCUGGCGGCGAGUGGCGAACGGGUGAGUAAUGUAUCGGAACGUGCCCAGUAGCGGGGGAUAACUACUCGAAAGAGUAGCUAAUACCGCAUACGCCCUACGGGGGAAAGGGGGGGGUCGCAAGACCUCGCACUGUUGGCGCGGCCGAUAUCGGAUUAGCUAGUUGGCGAGGUAAAGGCUCACCAAGGCGACGAUCCGUAGAUGGUUUGAGAGGACGACCAGCCACACUGGGACUGAGACACGGCCCAGACUCCUACGGGAGGCAGCAGUGGGGAAUUUUGGACAAUGGGGGCAACCCUGAUCCAGCCAUUCCGCGUGUGCGAUGAAGGCCUUCGGGUUGUAAAGCACUUUUGGCAGGAAAGAAAUCGCACGGAUUAAUACUCUGUGUGGAUGACGGUACCUGCAGAAUAAGCACCGGCUAACUACGUGCCAGCAGCCGCCGUAA
rnacentral:rRNA from 1 species